CCUACGGGUGGCAGCAGUGGGGAAUAUUGCACAAUGGGGGAAACCCUGAUGCAGCAACGCCGCGUGAGUGAAGAAGUAUUUUGGUAUGUAAAGCUCUAUCAGCCGGGAAGAAGAUGACGGUACCUGAGUAAGAAGCCCCGGCUAACUACGUGCCAGCAGCCGAGGUAAUACGGAGGGGGCAAGCGUUAUCCGGAUGUACUGGGUGUAAAGGGAGCGUCGACGGUGGGACAAGUCUGCAGUGAAAGCCCGGGGCGCAACCCCGGGACUGCUGUGGAAACGGCCUGACUGGCGUGCUGGGGCGGCAAGCUGAAUUCCUAGGGUAGCGUUGAAGUGCGUAGAUGUUAGGAAGAACACCAGGGGCGAAGGCGGCAUGCUGGACAGUAACUGACGUUGAGGCUCGAAAGCGUGGGGAGCAAACAGGAUUAGAUACCCUUGUAUGC
rnacentral:rRNA from 1 species